UACGUAGGGGGCAAGCGUUGUUCGGAUUCAUUGGCGUAAAGGGUGCGUAGGCGGCGCGGUAAGUCGGGUGUGAAAUCUCGGAGCUUAACUCCGAAACUGCAUUCGAUACUGCCGUGCUUGAGGACUGGAGAGGAGACUGGAAUUUACGGUGUAGCGGUGAAAUGCGUAGAUAUCGUAAGGAAGACCAGUGGCGAAGGCGGGUCUCUGGACAGUUCCUGACGCUGAGGCACGAAGGUCAGGGGAGCAAACGGG
rnacentral:rRNA from 1 species